UGGGGAAUUUUGGACAAUGGACGCAAGUCUGAUCCAGCCAUGCCGCGUGCGGGAAGAAGGCCUUCGGGUUGUAAACCGCUUUUGUCAGGGAAGAAACGAGUUUCUCUAAUACAGAGACUUAAUGACGGUACCUGGAUAAUAAGCACCGGCUAACUACGUGCCAGCAGCCGCGGUAAUACGUAGGGUGCAAGCGUUAAUCGGAAUUACUGGGCGUAAAUCGUGCGCAGGCGGUUAUGUAAGACAGAUGUGAAAUCCCCGGGCUCAACCUGGGAACUGCAUUUGUGACUGCAUAGCUAGAGUACGGCAGAGGGGGAUGGAAUUCCGCGUGUAGCAGUGAAAUGCGUAGAUAUGCGGAGGAACACCGAUGGCGAAGGCAAUCCCCUGGGCCUGUACUGACGCUCAUGCACGAAAGCGUGGGGAGCAAACA
rnacentral:rRNA from 1 species